rnacentral:lncRNA from 1 species
AUAUGUUGCCAUAUGUUGGAAGAAAUAAAAAAAAGUCUUGUUACUGAUUUGAUUUCUUCUAAUCUAUGACUCAUCUGUUGCAACGGAUAGGGCAUCUAUUAAAAAUAACAUAACAAUAAAAUAUUUUUUUCACAACACUAAAAUAUUUAUUACCAAUACUACCUACAACACCAACAAAAUCAAAAACACUAAAAACACCACACAAGCUAUUUUACCAAUUAAACAACAUCGAUCUCAUGUUUUUACCAAUAUACUAAGAGCACCAAC